rnacentral:tRNA from 1 species
GGCCCCAUGGUCAAGAGGUUAAGACACCGCCCUUUCACGGCGGUAACAGGGGUUCGAAUCCCCUUGGGGUCACCA